rnacentral:rRNA from 1 species
GACGAACGCUGGCGGCGUGCCUAAUACAUGCAAGUAGAACGCAGUUGCGAACGGGUGAGUAACGCGUAGGUAACUGCCUCAUAGCGGGGGAUAACUAUUGGAAACGAUAGCUAAUACCGCAUACUGUGAGAUGGACCUGCGUUGUAUUAGCUAGUUGGUGAGGUAAAGGCUCACCAAGGCGACGAUACAUAGCCGACCUGAGAGGGUGAGAGGCCACACUGGGAAUGAGGCACGGCUCAGACUCCUGCGGGAGGCAGCAGUAGGGAGUCGUCGGCAAUGGACGGAAGUGUGACCGAGCAACGCGGCGUGAAGGAAGAAGGUUUUCGGAUCGUAAAGCUCUGUUGUUAGAGAAGCGGUAGCUAACAAGAAAGGGAGGGCUAACUACGGGCCAGCCGCCGCGGUAAUUC